rnacentral:rRNA from 1 species
UACAGAGGUGCCAAGCGUUAGGCGGAAUCACUGGGCUUAAAGCGCGUGUAGGCGGGUCGUUAAGUGUCCGAGUGAAUCCCACGGCUCAACCGUGGAACUGCCGGGCAUACUGGCGAUCUUGAGGCAUUCAGGGGCGAGCGGAACAAAUGGUGGAGCGGUGAAAGUGACGUAGAUAUCUAUUUGGAACGACCAAUAGGUGAAAACAGCCUGCGCUGGGAAUGAUCUGACGCUGAGACGGCGAAAGCCAGGGGAGGCGAACACGGG